rnacentral:rRNA from 1 species
GGAUUAGAUACCCUGGUAGUCCACGCAGUAAACGAUGAGUGCUAGAUGUUAGAACUAUGUUUUAGCGUCGAAGCUAACGCAUUAAGCACUCCGCCUGGGAACUACGAUCGCAAGGUUAAAACUCAAAGGAAUUGACGGGGACCCGCACAAGCGGUGGAACAUGUGGUUUAAUUCGAUGCUACGCGAAAAACCUUACCAAGUCUUGACAUGUUAGUCGUAUGAUUAGGAAACUAGUCAGUCAGUUCGGCUGGACUAUCACAGGUGUUGCAUGGCUGUCGUCAGCUCGUGCCG